UUCAGCUCUGCUACUUUCUACCUGUGUGAUUCUGCACAACUUGCUUAACCUCUUUGUGCUUCCCUACCACAAAGGAAUAUGCACAACAGUUUGUUUAGCUAUGAUAAAGAUCACAACACCCCCUCCCAGGGAUUCAAGGAGUCGCCACAUAGCCAGUACUUAGAACACUGCUCCACCACACUAAGAUCUCAAUAAACGUGAAGUAGUGUUAUAUUACUACAGAAAGGAGGAACAUUAGGUGGUAUUCUUGGAGGCGGUGACCACUGAGGAAAAUCUAGGAUGGAUGAGCAUUAAUCCCUUUGUGGAUGGGGCAAUUAGAAGAGUGUUUCUCCAGCUUGCCAGAGCAGAAGAAUCACCUCAGGCAGUAAAAAUACAGAUUUGCCAGGUCUCUUACCUGGGGAUCCAGAUUCAGCCAGUGAGCCUAGGAACUGAUACUUAUUUUUACAAGCUCUUCAGGUAACUCUUAUGACCAAGCAGUUUAAGAAACAUCAUGCUAUGGCAUUGCAGGCACAAGAAGUGUAUUUAAGGUCAUAGAGGUGUGAAACAGUGUCGGUAUUUAGGGGGAGGCAAGUGAUUUGCUCUGCUUGGGGCAUAUUGUGUGGAGGAGAUGAAGUGGAGAGGCAAGCAGAGCCUGUAUGUCAGGGAUGCAGUUCCAAGGGCAAAAGGGAGCCACAGAAGAUUCUUGAGCAAGAGAGUAACAUGACAAACUUGCAUUUUAGGCAGCAGAUAGACAACAAUAAGAUGAAGUUGUAGUAGGUAUUGGAUUGGAUGGAAUUAGGUCUGGGAGGACAAACGAAAAAGGCCAUGACAAUCUCUUGUUGAACUAGCCAGGGACCCUGGGUGGGAAACCUCUGAUAUCUCACCAGAGGCCUGCUUUGUGGGGGACCUUCCCACCUUCAUGGGUCCAGCUUGGGUGUGCACACUGGAGCUUCUUGUCCAUGCUGCAAGCUGAUGGGACUGAGGUGGCCAUGGAGUGCUGCUGAGGAGGGCUGGCUGCUGCCUGCAUGGAGGAUUUGAUGGUGGAAAAGCCCUUUGACCAGUGGAAUCAAGUCUGAGAAGCUAGAAUAAGUGUUUACAGAAUGGAGGCUGGAGACAUGAAGACCAGGGCCAUGGGUCAUUGCCAAAUGAUGUGAUCCACAGAGUUACCACUUACCCUCCUUUCAAGCCAGGACUUUCUUCCUUCAACAUUUGGGGAGAAAAGGUGAUGAUACUGAGGUCCAAGUCAUGUGACAAGUGAGCAGCAGAGCCAAGACUGGACCCUAACACCACAUUGCUCAUCUUGCUCUCUCUCCGUCCCUGCCAGCCAGCAGUGACUGCAGAGUUCUGAGACAUCACCCUCGAAAGCUCAGGACAAGAGUGCUCUCUGGCUAAGCACACCUCUUCUCUUCAUGUCAGCUCCUGGGUCGCCUCCACAGAAAGGCGGCACAGGUGCCGGGCUGGCGCAAGCAGGAAACGUCUCCUGCCAGAGAAGGACUCCUGCUUUGCAUCCUCUGGGAGAAGCCACCUGUGGUCUCCACCCCCAGGCUCCUGCUGCCACAGAUCCGAGGGCCUCGCUCCUUCUGGAACCAAGGACCUCAGCAGGGCCACCUCCCACGCCCCAGUCACUGCACACAUGUGCUGGGCUGCUGGGCUUGUCUCAGGUUUUUAUUUCCAAUUGAUCGCUUACAGAUGACACUUGUCUCAGCGGGGGGUAAACAUUUUAUUUCUAUCCUGACUUCUUUAGAUGAUGGAGAGCGGCAAUUUGCUGGCUUGCGCCAAAGAAGGCCAAGGCUGUCUCUUGUCCUAUAGGUAAUUACCACUACCUGAUCCUCAGAGAGAGCGUCUGGUUGUGCCUCCAUUUGGCCGAGGCUGGCUGGAUGUUGUGCUUAAUGCUUUCAUUACUUCUGUCAACAACAGCUGGCGACGAGGAGCCAUUUAUUACAACUUCAGCUCUGGAAGGGAAAAGAAAAAAAGAGAAAGAGGGUAGACAUGAUCUGUUAGCAUGCCGAUGACAAGUCUAAUAGUUUUGUUUUUGCACGGGCUUGGAUGUAAACUUCGGGAGAGCAAAAUUGCAGUUAUUACCUGAGAAGGGAAGGAAGUCUAUUUAUCCUCUAGAAUGCACAAACUCUCUCCCUCAGGUAUAAGCUGCAUACAGUUUGGAGAUGGGGGAGGGGGUGGUGGAGAAGGAAGGAAUGUUUUUCCUCCCGACAUCCCCGCCCCAGUGUCUCCUCCCAGUGAAACCUAGCUGUCACUGUUGGAAUAGUAAUAGAUCUUCAAGUGACUUUUGCAAAAGUCCACAGUUGCAUUAGCAGCUGGGUGUCAUAAGAUGGUCUACAAACUUAAUAAAGAGAAAACAAAGCUCAUACCAGGGGAAUGCGAUGCAGCCUGCAACUUCCCCUACUUCCGCUUAUCCCAUCACUACCUCGUUUGUACUUUCAGAUGCCACCUCACACCUUGUUUCACAGUUCUCAGUGCUAUGUCUCGCUCUAUCACUAGGCUGUAAGCAGGGGAGCUCCCUCAUUCAUUUCUUUAUUCCCAGUGGUCUAACAUAG